GUGUCCAUCAGCUUUAGUAUCGCCUUCGGCGUUGCUUUCUCGGCACCCCCAAGGCGAUUUACGCACUCGACAAACUUCUCAUGAAGAUCUUGAGUCCAUCUUAUUCGUGUUUUACUUGAGAGCACAGCUCCAGUAGCAACAGAAUUGCCAGAAGACACAGAACCACCUGCAGAAGAAAAUCUUGGAGACUGUGUCUCUUGUCGAGAAGAAAACCCCAGAUGUGCAAAUGGAGAAGUAUUACAGCCAAAUCUUUGAUUUUGAUCUUCUUGGAAAGGAAUUGAAAAGGGACUUCCUAUGGAGGCAGCUCCAUUAUUUAACAGUUUAUUUCUUUCAAGCAGAUGUAGCUUGUUCCCUGAAGAACUGCUGCAGGGACCUUUAUAAGACUUGUAAAAAUGAUCAUCAGAAAAAUGAGAUUUCACAAUUGGCUGCAAGUUGUUUCUUAAUUCCAAGUUGUGCUCAGCUUGCUCUCUGGAGUCAAUAGUGUAGUUUUCCUUUGAAGACUGUUGUGAAUCAUAGGACUUGGAGUAUGGGAAGCACAAAGGAAGAGCACCAACUUGACAAUCAUACUGUGGAAAUCCCAUAUAUUUUUCUGUUGCAUAAAAGGCAGAAGCUGGUGAUUCAAAGCGGCUCAUAAUGCUGGUUGAUGACUCAUCAGGCCUAAGAUUUUGCUGCUGUUGCAGUCCUGCCUCCAUAACAGGUUGCUGCAUACGAAUUCCCAUGUUCCAAUUCUGUUGGUUACCAAGACAUUGAGAGGAAUGAAGAGCAAAGUCAUCAAUCAGUCCAUGAUUAUGAUGAAUUCGUUCUUGGAAAUCGAUCUUUGAAGUGUUCAUUUACAAGCAAUCCAAAUAUGAGAGCUAGAAAAAA
rnacentral:misc_RNA from 1 species